rnacentral:rRNA from 1 species
ACGCUGGCGGCGUGCCUAAUACAUGCAAGUAGAACGCUGAAGAGAGGAGCUUGCUCUUCUCGGAUGAGUUGCGAACGGGUGAGUAACGCGUAGGUAACCUGCCUUGUAGCGGGGGAUAACUAUUGGAAACGAUAGCUAAUACCGCAUAACAAUGGAUGACACAUGUCAUUUAUUUGAAAGGGGCAAUUGCUCCACUACAAGAUGGACCUGCGUUGUAUUAGCUAGUAGGUGAGGUAACGGCUCACCUAGGCGACGAUACAUAGCCGACCUGAGAGGGUGAUCGGCCACACUGGGACUGAGACACGGCCCAGACUCCUACGGGAGGCAGCAGUAGGGAAUCUUCGGCAAUGGGGGCAACCCUGACCGAGCAACGCCGCGUGAGUGAAGAAGGUUUUCGGAUCGUAAAGCUCUGUUGUAAGUCAAGAACGAGUGUGAGAGUGGAAAGUUCACACUGUGACGGUAGCUUACCAGAAAGGGACGGCUAACUACGUGCCAGCAGCCGCGGUAAUACGUAGGUCCCGAGCGUUGUCCGGAUUUAUUGGGCGUAAAGCGAGCGCAGGCGGUUUGAUAAGUCUGAAGUUAAAGGCUGUGGCUCAACCAUAGUUCGCUUUGGAAACUGUCAAACUUGAGUGCAGAAGGGGAGAGUGGAAUUCCAUGUGUAGCGGUGAAAUGCGUAGAUAUAUGGAGGAACACCGGUGGCGAAAGCGGCUCUCUGGUCUGUAACUGACGCUGAGGCUCGAAAGCGUGGGGAGCGAACAGGAUUAGAUACCCUGGUAGUCCACGCCGUAAACGAUGAGUGCUAGGUGUUGGAUCCUUUCCGGGAUUCAGUGCCGCAGCUAACGCAUUAAGCACUCCGCCUGGGGAGUACGACCGCAAGGUUGAAACUCAAAGGAAUUGACGGGGGCCCGCACAA